AUCAGUAGCCGGCCUGAGAGGGUGAACGGCCACAUUGGGACUGAGACACGGCCCAAACUCCUACGGGAGGCAGCAGUGGGGAAUAUUGCACAAUGGGGGAAACCCUGAUGCAGCGACGCCGCGUGAGUGAAGAAGUAUUUCGGUAUGUAAAGCUCUAUCAGCAGGGAAGAAAUACUGACCAUAGGGUCAGCAGACGGUACUUGACUAAGAAGCCCCGGCUAACUACGUGCCAGCAGCCGCGGUAAUACGUAGGGGGCAAGCGUUAUCCGGAUUUACUGGGUGUAAAGGGAGCGUAGACGGCAGCGCAAGUCUGAAGUGAAAUGCCAGGGCUUAACCCUGGAACUGCUUUGGAAACUGUGCAGCUAGAGUGCAGGAGAGGUAAGUGGAAUUUCUAGUGUAGCGGUGAAAUGCGUAGAUAUUAGGAGGAACACCAGUGGCGAAGGCGGCUUACUGGACUGUAACUGACGUUGAGGCUCGAAAGCGUGGGGAGCAAACAGGAUUAGAUACCCUGGUAGUCCACGCUGUAAACGAUGAUUACUAGGUGUUGGGGGACCAAGGUUCUUCG
rnacentral:rRNA from 1 species